GGUUUUACUUUUGCUUUUUGGGCACUAGGUAACAACUCAAAAGUCUCUCACACACACAUACAUACGCUGAGAGCCGACGAGGACGAAGGGAUUCCGGUGAGUACUCCGACGUGUGACUGCUACCAAUCUAGGCCUUGAGCAUGUCGGCGGUCGAUUGUCCGACCGUGCAUAGUUAGACGGCGGCGAGCUUAUUGGCCGGAAACGAAGGGAUUCCGGUGAGUACUCCGACGUGUGACUGCUACCAAUCUAAGCCUUGAGCAUGUCGGUGGUCGAUUGUCCGACCGUGCAUCGAUGAUGGUUCAGUGAAGAAGUUAGACGGCGGCGAGCUUAUUGGCCGGAAACGAGAACGGUGACAUGAAGACGGGUUCCAAUCACAUCAAUCUGAUAAUAAUUCGGGUGUGUAAGACUCCUCAUCUAUGAUCUUAGAUGCGACUGAAAACGAUGCACCAAUUUGGGUCCGAAAAAAGCACAACUGCAAAGAAACUUAUGAUUAAGCUGGUUAAAUAUAUGUGGAUGUAGGGUUUUGGUUAUAUGGAUUGGAUUAUCAACAAUAAUUUUGGAGAUCUUUGCUUAAUUAAUUUGAGUAGCGAUUUUUUAGGAGUUUUGUAGAUAACAUUUUCGUUAUUGGGUUUAGGGUGUUUGUAUUGUCUAAAUUAUUAUUUAGGUAUCAAGUUACUUAUUAUUGCGAAUACUCUAGGUGUUGUCAACAAAAAUAAAGAAGGGUACGUCUACAGAAACCGGAGAAAAAAAACUACAAUAAGUUUUGUUCAAUGUACAAAACACAUGUACUCAACAACCAUUUAGGUGGGAGUAGUUUUAUUUGAUUGCAAUAUUGGAGUUGAUCUACAGUUUGGGAUUUUGGUUACAUAUUCAUUUGUGUUGACACAAUAAUUAUAGUUUUCGCUUUGAUUCGGUUUAUAUUAAUC
rnacentral:lncRNA from 1 species